AUUAUCCCAUUUACCCCAGCACCAGAUUUUUAUUCCCACUAACCCAAUUUACAGUAAAAUGACUAUUAUGCCCUCAACCUAAUUAAAUAACUACUAUCCUGCCAUUCUCUCUCUCACUCAUCCCUCCAAGCUGCUCUCUCUUUUUCAUUCUCCGAUUCUCCGAUCUGCAAUCUCUCUCUCUCUCUCUCCCCGUCGUGGAUGCUCCGGAACCGGAAGACGAAUCUGAUCGCCUCACCUCGUCUAGCCUGACCCGGCCCUUCACCUCCCAGUAUGCCAGCUCGUACCAGAUCGAGCUACUCAACGGAGCCCCACAUGGCUUCUCCUGAACUCGGCCGAAGUCAAAUUGGAGAACCGAGUGACUGCAUGAGGAUGACUCGACGGUUUCAGUGGUGAUGGAUGUGAAAUGGAGUGAGGAAGAGGGUUUGGAAAGCUUGGGGAGGAGUCCAGCCGGCUCGAAUCAACUAAAGACCUCAGAGUUCAUGUAUGAGGGUUUUAAGCAUGGAUGGGAUGGCGAGGAGCUUGGUUGAUCAGCUCACUUUGCCUGUAGCAUGCAGAAAGAUGCCGAAGAGCUAUUUGAGCUCCCUUUUCUCAGGUACAAAGAAAAGGAGUUGUUUUUGGCAUUUGCGGCUAAGGGAUUCAAAGUGCCAUUGAUCCAGGUGGAGUCCUAGUUCCGCUAGGAAAGCUAUUCUGCAGUUUCUGUGUGGUUGUUGUGCAGCUGGUUUAAUUGAUAUUGUAUAUUACAUGGAAACAUCUGACCUGGUAGAUGGCCAUUAGAAUGAUACUCGAACAGCAAGCAAUGCCAUCAUCUGAGAAAUGAAGUCGGGAUGGCCCAGCCAAACAGCUCCAGUUACCAGAUUUCCAUCUGUAAUAGAACUAUCUAUUGGAUCAGGUUCCACCCAUUUUACUUCUGACAAAACUACAUUGACCCUGACCGUUGGGUGUGCAGUACAUUUCCAUCCCUGCAAUGUAGCCAAAAAAUAACAAUUCUGACAUGCUAAACAGCUUCA